CUACGGGAGGCAGCAGUAGGGAAUUUUCGGCAAUGGAGGAAACUCUGACCGAGCAACGCCGCGUGAAUGAAGACAUAUUUCGGUAUGUAAAGUUCUUUUAUUGGGGAAGAAUAGCCCAUGGAAAAAUGGGUGUGACGGUACCUAAUGAAUAAGCCCCGGCUAACUAUGUGCCAGCAGCCGCGGUAAUACAUAGGGGGCAAGCGUUAUCCGGAAUUAUUGGGCGUAAAGGGUGCGUAGGCGGCCAUUUAAGUCUUUGGUAUAAGUGCAGUGCUUAACGCUGUGAUGCUAAGGAAACUGAAUGGCUUGAGUGAGAUAGAGGCAAGUGGAAUUCCAUGUGUAGCGGUAAAAUGCGUAAAUAUAUGGAGGAACACCAGUGGCGAAGGCGGCUUGCUGGGUCUACACUGACGCUGAGGCACGAAAGCGUGGGGAGCAAACAGGAUUAGAUACCCUGGUAGUCCACGCCGUAAACGAUGAGUACUAAGUGUUGGAGAAAUUCAGCGCUGUAGUUAACGCAAUAAGUACUCCGCCUGAGUAGUACGUACGCAAGUAUGAAACUCAAAG
rnacentral:rRNA from 1 species